rnacentral:rRNA from 1 species
AGCGAACGCUGGCGGCGUGCUUAACACAUGCAAGUCGAGUGCGUAGCCCUUUGUAGCAAUACAGAGGGUGGGCGCACGGCGCACGGGUGAGUAACACGUGGGUAACCUGCCCUUCGGUGGGAUAACCCGCGAAGCGGGCUAAUUCCGCAUAACAUUCCGGGGACGACAUGUUCUCGGACUCAAAGGAGUGAUUCGCCGGAGGAGGGGCCCGCGCCCGAUUAGCUUGUUGGUAGGGUAACGGCCUACCAAAGGCUUUGAUCGGUAGCCGGUCUGAGAGGAUGGCCGGCCACACUGGAACUGAGACACGGUCCAGACUCCUACGGGAGGCAGCAGUGGGGAAUCUUGCGC